GUCAACCCUGUCCGAUGGUGAGGCCCUCCACGGUAAGAGGUGCCAAAGGCACCCGCCUCACCGUCCCGCAAGGGAUAGGACAGGGGGGAGGA
rnacentral:ncRNA from 1 species